CCUCCACCCAUUGUGAUAUAUACCUCUGUUGCCUCGGGGGCGACCCGGCNCUGCGCUGGAGCCUCCGAUGGACCACAUUUAAACACUUGCAUCUAUGCGUCGGAUUAUAAAGUUUAAAUUAUUAAAACUUUCAACAACGGAUCUCUUGGUUCUGGCAUCGAUGAAGAACGCAGCGAAAUGCGAUAAGUAAUGUGAAUUGCAGAAUUCAGUGAAUCAUCGAGUUUUUGAACGCACACUGCGCCCCUUGGUAUUCCGGGGGGCAUGCCCGUUCGAGCGUCAUUACACCAAUCAAGCCUGGCUUGGUAUUGGGCCACGGGGGCGACCCGGGCCUCAAAGUCUUUCGGCUGGACGUCUCCAAUCUCAGCGUCAUGGUAAUUCAACUCGCUGUCGAGUGGGGAGGUCUGCGCCGGUAAACUCUUUCACAGGUUGACCUCGGAUCGGGUAGG
rnacentral:rRNA from 1 species